UUGAACGCUGGCGGCAUGCCUUACACAUGCAAGUCGAACGGCAGCACGGGAGCAAUCCUGGUGGCGGAGUGGCGAACGGGUGAGUAAUAUAUCGGAACGUGCCCAGGUCGUGGGGGAUAACGUAGCGAAAGCUACGCUAAUACCGCAUACUAUCUAUGGAUGAAAGCGGGGAUCGCAAGACCUCGCGCGAUUGGAGCGGCCGAUAUCAGAUUAGGUAGUUGGUGAGGUAAAGGCUCACCAAGCCGACGAUCUGUAGCUGGUCUGAGAGGACGACCAGCCACACUGGGACUGAGACACGGCCCAGACUCCUACGGGAGGCAGCAGUGGGGAAUUUUGGACAAUGGGCGCAAGCCUGAUCCAGCAAUGCCGCGUGCAGGAUGAAGGCCUUCGGGUUGUAAACUGCUUUGUACGGAACGAAACGGUGAGCUCUAAUACAGUUUGCUAAUGACGGUACCGUAAGAAUAAGCACCGGCUAACUACGUG
rnacentral:rRNA from 1 species